rnacentral:rRNA from 1 species
UGGGGAAUAUUGCGCAAUGGGGGAAACCCUGACGCAGCGACGCCGCGUGUGGGAUGAAGGUCUUCGGAUUGUAAACCACUGUCGCGAGGGACGAAGCUCUGACGGUACCUCGAAAGGAAGCACCGGCUAACUCUGUGCCAGCAGCCGCGGUAAUACAGAGGGUGCGAGCGUUGUCCGGAAUCACUGGGCGUAAAGGGCGCGUAGGCGGCAUGACAAGUCACUUGUGAAAUCUCUGGGCUUAACCCAGAACGGCCAAGUGAUACUGUCGCGCUAGAGUGCAGAAGGGGCAAUCGGAAUUCUUGGUGUAGCGGUGAAAUGCGUAGAUAUGUGGAAGAACACCGGUGGCGAAGGCGGUUUUCAAUUUAGACCUGACGCUGAGGCGCGAAAGCAAGGGGAUCAAACAGGAUUAGAUACCCUCGUAGUCCCUGAGCGGGCUGGCAAGGCGCAU